UUUAGACUGAAUUGAUAAUAAGCUUUGCCUGGACAUGACUUGUCACACGGAAGAGAUGUGAUUUAUACACGGAGAUACAAGAUUCUCUGUAUAUGCUCAACUGAGCCAGCUUUUGCUUGAUGAUACAACCACGUUGGAUUGGCUUCAUGGAGAGUGAGAUGUAUUUACGUUUUCCCCGGAGAUUGUUAACCAAGAUAAUGUGUAUUUGGGGCAACAGAGGUUUCAAGCAAGCAGCAUAUCAGAGUGAUGGGUGAGGGGUUGAAGGUCAGCGAACAGGAUUUGGAUUCUGGAUCUGCCGUUGUCCUGUCGCUUGGGAAGGUUACUCUCUGCUUAUGCUACAACCUCCUUAUCAGUGGUAUUCAGUUUGCCAACACAUAGAAUAACGCCCACUGCUCAUCCUGUCAAGUGCCCCCCUCAGUGCCCAAUUUACUGCUUUUCAAAAAGCAGUAAAGCAGAUUUCUCAGCUCGUCCCCCUGUUGGAGAGUCGGGUCAGACCGAAGGGCUGGAGCAGCAGCGUCUGUGAGCGCUGGUCGCCAGCAGCUGGGAGAGAGCUCUCCGGCAAAUGUGCAAACGUGAGCCAGAGAAUGAUGCAUCAGGCCGGCUCUGGGCAGCUCCACAGGAUGCAGGGCUUUCCUCUCCUUCCUGACCUGAGCCCAGAAGACAGAUGAUUUGUUUGUCUGACUGCCCGAGAAGAUCAGAGGAAAUGAGAAAACAAAAUGGCGGCCUAACCAGUUUACAUGAGCAGUUUUCAUCAUUCUGGUGUACUCUUGGAUGAAUCCUUGGUCAAGUGGCAAAGAGAACUACUUUUAAAUGCAAGGUACCCACAUGGAGCAAUUAAGGAGAGCUAUAAAGUGGUAUGGAUUUUCAGAUGUGGCAAGGGCCAGACACAAAUGGAGGACAAUUGACUAAGAUAUUAGCUGAUUUAGGAAAAUCCACAUCCUACCUGUGGGAGAACCCUUACG